rnacentral:rRNA from 1 species
AACGAACGCUGGCGGCAUGCCUAACACAUGCAAGUCGAACGAAACCUUCGGGUCUAGUGGCGCACGGGUGCGUAACGCGUGGGAACCUGCCCUUAGGUUCGGAAUAACUCCCCGAAAGGGGUGCUAAUACCGGAUAAUGUCUUCGGACCAAAGAUUUAUCGCCUUUGGAUGGGCCCGCGUUGGAUUAGGUAGUUGGUAGGGUAAAAGCCUACUAAGGCGACGAUCCAUAGCUGGUCUGAGAGGAUGAUCAGCCACACUGGGACUGAGACACGGCCCAGACUCCUACGGGAGGCAGCAGUGGGGAAUAUUGGAAAAUGGGCGAAAGCCUGAUCCAGCAAUGCCGCGUGAGUGAUGAAGGCCUUAGGGUUGUAAAGCUCUUUUACCCGGGAUGAUAAUGACAGUACCGGGAGAAUAAGCUCCGGCUAACUCCGUG